CCCCCAGCGCUGCGGGCGCGGGCCGACCAGGCGACCGCCGGCGCACCGAGAUUCAGAACCUGAGGACGACAUAAACGCAAGACCACCGCUGGAAGGCCCAGAAGAAGGGAAGAUAGUGCCCCAGGCCUCACGUGAGCCAACUGGACCCAAAAUGGCAGAACUGUCAGACCUCUGCCCAGGAGACAGUCCCUGCCAAGGACCAGCACCCGGGGUGGCCUGUGCCCAGGACACCCACCCAGUCCCAAGAGGCCUGGCCCACGUAAAGGACGACCGCCUGGCCGGGGGCUCUGGGCCUCCCCCAGAAGCCAGCAGCUCGGCCGGCCGCCCUGUGUCUCAUGCAUGCAAGUCGGCCUCACCCAGGAGACCCGGGAGCCCCCGAGCGGCCUGCGGGUCGAUGAGGCCCCUCGCCCUUCAUGCACCAUGGGGUCAGGUCCCCGGUGUGUGCAGAGUCCACCAGGCAGAGUUCCUGGAGGAAGCGGCCACAGAGAGACUCCAACCAAAGCGCACACUCUGUCCACAAGCUGCUCUCUCCAGCCGAUGGGCCACAGAAACACUGGGGGAGGCGAAGACCCAAGCCAGAUGCCAGGCCCCUUGGCCUCCACUGGCUGGUGACCUCCCUGCCCCUGCACGCCCUCCGGGAGGUCUGGCUUCCCCCUCACAGCCCCGGGCUCCCCAGGAGAACGUGCGUCUGCGACAGAGCCCCGGCUCGGCCCCUGCCUCUUGGGACAGGCGAGGCUCAGCCCUUCCAUGCAGCCCUCUCAGACCCCGUGACAGCCAUGGGUCCCAGCCAAUGGCAGCCCCCCACUAAGUGUGACACAGACACGUAGCCUCUGGGGACAGGAGCGCCUGGUGGCCAGCAAGCCUGGGAACACGGCUGUCCUGGCUGGGCUGCCUGGGCAGCGGCCCCGGAGAAUGGGGCCAUGGCCAUGCCUCCAUGUCCUUGUUCGCACGGGGCCACGGGCAGGCAGGAUGCCCGGCCCACGCUGCCCCUCACUCUGCUGGUGGCCGUGGCUGCCUUGGCGGGUCGGCCCGACGGUGAACAGUGAGAAUGACAGCAGAAGCACAUCGGGGCACGUGUGGCCGCCCACCCCAGAGAGCGGGACGGAGGCCCAGGUCUCUCCCUGUACGUCCCUGGGAGCUGGCCCCUUCCGUCACCACUGGAGGCUGUGGGCAGUCCCCGACUGCGGCCUGCGUUGGGGACAGGGACUCAAGGCUGCACACGGACCCCAUCCACAUCCCACGGACCUGCGACCUGGCGCUUUCAGAAGCUCUCAGUGAAGUACAGGGUCCCCCCAAGUGAGGUAUUGCAUUGGCUAACGCAGUUCUCGGAUCCGGGCCGGGCCAGACCCCCGACCCCACAGCCUCCACGGCUCACACCUGCACCAUGAGGCCCAUCUCCAGGGUCCACAAGAGGACGCCGAGGCUCGGAGAGGUGACCUGACUGCCACGGUGCCCUGCAGGACGAACGGAUACAGCUGGCCGGGGUUUCCGGGAAGACAGCGUCUCCGGGCGUGGCGAACACCUGAGCACCAGCCAGUGGGACGUAAGGGUCAGAUUGGCCGCGUGUGACCACAGUGCCAAAGCCUGCAGGACAAGGUAAGGAGCGCGAGGGGUGUGGGGGUCGGGGGCCGUGGCUGCCAAAACCCACUACUGACCACUAUUGAGAAAACGUCGGCUGUCCCCACCCUCAUCUGGGGAGACGGCCUACAUUGACAGGCUUUCUGUGGGUGCUGGCCGCGGGGACGGACGGGGGCCACACAGAGACAGGCCAGGGGCGAGGCAGGGGACCUGGCUGGAGCCUUCUUGACCAGCUGCCCGGACCCACUACCAAAGCCCAGCCGCGACGGAGCAACGCCCUGGCGAGGAGGACAAGCUGUGGUCUGAGCUGUGGAACGAAGCAGAGCCACGCGUGGACCAUAGGCCGCGGCGGGUGGCGCGGAGCUGGCGGGUGGCGGAAAGAGGCCGGCCUGUCCCUGAGGCCGAGCCAGCCUGCGUAUCCAGUGGGGAGAACGCGAACCUUGACCCCAGCCUCACACUGGAUGCAGACAUCGAUUCCAGAUGGAAUCUACGUGCGGCAGGUGGGCUCACGAAGCUUUAGGACAAGCCAGCGGAUCUUUAUGACCUCGGAGUAGUCCAGGUCUCUUUAAUAGGACGCAGGCAGCACGGGCCAGAAGGGAAACGUCUGAUGAACCGGGUCCCGUUGAGUCCACCUGCGGUUCCCCUGCUCAGCAGAGACGCCCCUCGUGAGAGGAAGGGCCGGCCCGCGGCAGGGCGGGGCGGGACGGGGCGGUGCUUCUGCGGUGGACGCGCCGCGAGCGUGUGCGGGCACGCGGGGGCACGCUCGGCUCAGCUCCCCACGAGCCCUCCCCGGGACACAGGAGACAGACCGAGGGAGGACAGAGCAUGUGUAAAUCGGCGAGGAGGGCUCGCCCCACGUCCGACGGGCCGGAGACGCGAGCAUUUUGGCAAGACAACAUCUGACCCAAUAACACUGGGAGGGGUGCGGCAGCCGCGUCCAGUCCCCACAGACGACGAUGCCAGGCUGAUGGCGCGAGGGUGCCCUCACAAGCCGUGCCUGCGGGCUGGCGGCUGGGCGGGACCGGGGAAAGCGUGUGCGCCCCUCCUGCGCCCCCACACCUAGGCCGAUGCGCGCCGAAGUGCAGCCUGUACGGCGGCCAGAAAGCCUGGACGGGGCGUUAGCGCGGACGCUAGCAGCCCGCCUGGACGCACGGUCCACGGGCCGUCGACACGAGAACGGAUAAACCGUGCCGCCCUUCCCACGCCGGUGUGCCAGUCCCGGGGCACGAGGAGCACCGCUCUCUGCGACCCCGUGCACGCCUCCCGGGGAGCCAGACGGAUGCAGGGGUGUGCGCACCGGGGCGUCUGUCUAUGGAAAGUUCCAGAACGGGCAACACCAAGUGCUGCUGCCAGAAGCCAAGACGGGGGCGGCCGUCUGAAGGCGUGACAGGAAGUGGGAGCACGGGGGCAUCCCGGCUACCCUCACGCGGCCGGUGCUGAGACGGACGCUCAUCGCCUGUGGCCCACUCCUCAGCCGGAACGCUGAAAUGCCCUACGGGCAAGGACAGGCCUUCUGGGCUUAACGGGAGAGCUGGACGGCCCAGGCCUAGAGAGGGGCUGGGCCUGGCCCCCCACUUAGGCUUCCUGGCCAUGCUGCCCUCGGGCCCCCCUCCUUAUAGGUUUAGGCCUGUGGGGGACCCACAACCCCCGGAAAUGUCUCUGUGGCAACACCGGUGCCCUCUGUGAAGUCGUGUUUUCCUCCAGCUGCCUCUAGGGUAUGGAUGCCGCUCCAUCCCUCAUACCCUCCGACACUGCCCCUUGCCAUAGCCCUGCCCAUGGGGACUGAGCCCUGACGCACAGACGCCCUGGACCGGGAUUUAUGGCUACAGCUGCUGAAGGAGUACAAGGCCCCCCACUUCCUCCGGGCCUUCUACCUGGACCGAGGGCCCGCUCCCCGGAGCCACGGCCUCAGGAGUCUGGCGGCAUCCUCCUCCCGUGUUCAGACGCAGGAAGUGAGGCUCCCAGAGGUUAGGGGCCCCCGGGGCCAGCCUGCAGCUGGGCCGGUGCGGGCUCAGGGCCAGAUGGAGGGCAUCUGAUUCCCAGUCCUGUCUCUUUCCCACUGAGCCACUCCGCCUCGCUUUUAAUUCAAUUAGGAGAACAUUUAAUCCCCCCGUGCAUUUCAGAGUCGAGCUGGAGCUGGCCGGGGCUGGGAGGCUCCGAUGGGGCCUGUGACUCACGCAGCCCCUUACAGCCCCCCGGGCGGGCUCCCACGGGGCUCCCUUGUCACCUCGUGCAGACAGAGGUGGUCUGGAGCUCCAGCAAAGACAGGACACCGGUCUGAAAAGACACACUGGUCUCAUCUGUUCCUGGCAACCCCCACCCCCAUCCCCAGACGCGGGCCCCGAGUGGCCUUCAGACUUUCCCACCAAGGUUCGCAGGGUGAGAAGCAGAGCAAGGAGCAUGGCCACUCGGCGAGGCGUGGAGCCUGGCGCUUCUGUUGGCCUCAGGAGGGAGCUGCAGCAGGCCCCAGGGUCCCCAAAACAUCCCAGCCGAGCCGGGCCCAUCCCGAGAUCUGGCCCCCCGGUCCACGGAACUGAGCACAGGGCAGAGCCUGGUGACAUUUGCCCCCAUUUCCAGAAGGCACGGGGCUGGCCAUGGCCUCGCUGACAACGCAGAAUUCAGGAGACGUUAGUGGUGAUGUGGAGGAAAGCCAGGCCACAGCGGCCUUGUUGGAAAAGACACACUUGAGCGUUCUGGCAGGAGACUCCGUGGGGCCCGGGAGACAGCCGGAGACGUGGAGAUUCUAAUCAACGCACGCGGAGCUGGGUUUGCUCAAGGAUGCGCAGGCUGUCCUGUCACGGGGCCUACAGGCUCAAGUUGCCGGGGAGGUGCUCAUGGUCACCUUGUGGGGGUCCCCACGGUGCCCCCACCCCGGCCUUGCCUUCCCUCAGCCUCCCUUCUCUGGAAGGCUCCUGGCCUGCCCCGGGACCAUGCAGAUGCCCAGGGCAUCAGGCUCUGCACACCCCCGGCGGAGGAGGACGGGGUGGGGCGGCUAGUAAGCAGGAGCCAGGCCUCGCCCAGCCACGACGCUGCCAGGACGGAGAGACAAGGGGGGGUCCAGGCAUCAAUCCCGGGGAACACUAGGCCGCAGUAUUCAUUGCGGGCCUGGCCUCUCGCACCAUCUGCCUGGGGUGUUCAUGUCACCCAAAGGGACGGAUGUGGACUCCCGGCUGGGCUUGGCUGCCGUGGCAGCUAGGUGGCGGCAGGCGGGGAGCUUCAUAGACUUGGCUGCCAUCUCCCAAGGCUGCUGGGACAGGGUACCCAGGCCUCCCCUAUACGCAGACCCAACCAGAGCCACAGAUCCCCGUGCUGAGGCCAGUUCUGACCAGCCCCACCCUGCCCUGCCCAGGCCCUUGCCACCUUGUCUCAGGUGAGGCUUGCCUGGCCCUGGGGAAAUCCAGCCUGCCUUGGGGCAGGAGCCACAGUCCUGGACCUCUUUCUGGCCAGGGGCUCCAAAAGAGCCAGAGAGGGUGGGACCCCGUGCUGAGGGCCGAGGCAGCUGGUACAGAGGCCCUGGCAGCCGGAGGAGGACAUGCUGCCUGGGCCUCCCUGGGGCGAGGCCGGCGGAUGAGUCCGAUGGGUGCCGAUGAGUGACGAGGCAGUUUCCGAAAGGGACACCACGUGCAGGGCACAGGGGCGCACACAGAGGUGGCCCUCUGUUCCUACUGUCCCACCACUGGCUCUCCAUGGGCAGAAGGCAGUGGGGUGGGGAGGAGCCCGGGAACUCAUCCCCGCUCCCGCUGGGCUGCGGGGCUCCGUCUUCUCUUGGCUCUCCCAGAUGCCCCGUCUCUACCUUACACUUGCCCCUCGGAAGCCCUGUGGCAAGGCUCUGGGUGAGGGGGACACAGGUGCUGAGAGCUCCAGGCAGAGAGGGGCUCUGGAAAGGUGUGUGUGUCAGGCUGCGGCCCAGCACCCUGGAGCUGGGCGAGGGCCCCAGGGCUGCAGCGAGACGCUGGGGCUUGCUCAUGGGGCCAAGACCACUCUGCCUCCCCAAGCCAUGGGGUCCCAGUGACUCCCAGUUUGCACCCGGCUUGCUCGCCGGCCCCCCCGGCACCCCCCACCCCUGCCCCACCAAUGGCCAGCAGGCCCCGGAAAGAAGAGCUUCGCCCAGCCCCAGGGACCUUCCCGUAAUCAAGGCUGCAGUGACCUCACCUCCCUGGGGCCCAGCGGGUGGGGAGAGCUUGAGAUGGAAACAAAAUGUGUCUUUAUUUAUGCUUUUAAUUUGAAUUCUGGAACUGACCCAACGUGGUAAUACACUUAACCUCAGUAAAAUGCUGAAGAAAAAUGAA